rnacentral:rRNA from 1 species
GAUCGGUAGCCGGCCUGAGAGGGCGCACGGCCACACUGGAACUGAAACACGGUCCAGACUCCUACGGGAGGCAGCAGUGGGGAAUUUUGCGCAAUGGGGGAAACCCUGACGCAGCAACGCCGCGUGGAGGAUGAAGUCCCUUGGGACGUAAACUCCUUUCGACCGGGACGAUAAUGACGGUACCGGUGGAAGAAGCCCCGGCUAACUUCGUGCCAGCAGCCGCGGUAAUACGAGGGGGGCAAGCGUUGUUCGGAAUUAUUGGGCGUAAAGGGCGCGUAGGCGGUGCGACAAGUCACCUGUGAAACCUCUGGGCUUAACCCAGAGCCUGCAGGCGAAACUGUCGUGCUUGAGGGUGGGAGAGGUGCGUGGAAUUCCCGGUGUAGCGGUGAAAUGCGUAGAUAUCGGG